GUAAAAAACGAUGUCAGACCACCUCUGGCUGGGAGAAGAGACGCUUCUGCAUCGCUCGAUCUGCCGCCAUCUUUAUUCUUGGGUGAAAGUGUCACAGGAUUCCACGGGUCACAGAUUUGGGUGUUACACCUGUACAGUAAAGCUAAACUACCAUCGGUGUCCUCACUACUGUGUUUUUUUAUUUGACGUCGAGGACAGACCGGUGCAGGGCAAUGGAAAGGAAUGACUGCCACCGUAAAGGUUGAAGGCCCGCGAUGGCAGCUGGCGGCAAGUCGCCCGGGGGUUGCAGCAGGAGGUGCUGAGGCUGCAGCAGGAGUUACUGCUGUCCAGAGUGACGUCACGCCUGCAGAGCGGUGCCCGGGCAGCAGACCUUCCAGAUGGUGACGACACCUCAGACGACGCUUCCCAGGACCUGUUCGCGCCGGGAGGUGAAUCUCACGGCGGCGACUCGCCACCAGGC
ensembl:lncRNA